rnacentral:rRNA from 1 species
AACAAACGCUGGCGGCGUGCCUAAUACAUGCAAGUCGAACGAGGAAAGCUUUCGGGUGAGUACUAGUGGCGCACGGGUGAGGAAUAUAUGGGUAAUCUGCCCUCGAGUUGGGGAUAACCAGUCGAAAGACUGGCUAAUACCGAAUAAGACCACAGGAUCUGCGGAUCUAGGGGUUAAAGGUUUUUCGCUUGAGGAUGAGCCCAUACGGGAUUAGCUAGUUGGCGAGGUAAUGGCUCACCAAGGCUACGAUCCCUAACUGGUCUUAGAGGAUGAGCAGUCACACUGGAACUGAUACACGGUCCAGACUCCUACGGGAGGCAGCAGUAGGGAAUAUUGCACAAUGGGGGAAACCCUGAUGCAGCGACGCCGCGUGAGUGAUGAAGGCCUUCGGGUCGUAAAGCUCUGUCGUAUGGGACUAACACAAUGAAGGUACCAUGCAAGAAAGGAUCGGCUAACUUCGUGCCAGCCGCCGCCGUAA